rnacentral:rRNA from 1 species
AGGACGAACGCUGGCGGCGUGCUUAACACCUGCAAGUCGAGCGACUGUGUUCUUCGGAACAUAUGGAGCGGCGAACGGGUGAGUAACACGUGGGCAACCUGCCCCUAGCUCUGGGAUAACUCCGGGAAACCGGGGCUAAUACCGGAUACGAUCUUCCAUGGCAUCUCGGAAGGUGGAAAGUUUUUUCGGCUAGGGAUGGGCCCGCGGCCUAUCAGCUUGUUGGUGAGGUAACGGCCCACCAAGGCGACGACGGGUAGCCGGCCUGAGAGGGCGACCGGCCAACGACUGGGACUGAGACACGGCCCAGACUCCGUACGGGAGGCAGCAGUGGGAAUAUGCGCAAUGGGCGAAAGCCUGACGCAGCGACGCCGCGUGAGGGAUGGAAGGCCUUCGGUUGUAAACCUCGUUUCAGCAGGGACCGAAGCGAGAGUCGACGGUACCUGACGAAGAAGAAGCCGACCGGCGAACUACCGU